rnacentral:rRNA from 1 species
GGCGGUAAUGAUUAAUUAGGGGACAUUGGGGGGGCAAUCAGGUAUAUACCCUGUUUCGAGGAGAAAAAUUCUUGGCACCACGUGAAAGCCAUAAUACUUUCGAAAAACCCUUUUCCAAGGCAUAUUUUUCUAUUAAUUAGGGAACAAAAAGUUACGGGGAUCGGAGAAAGAUCCAGACUCCGUUGGUAGUUUUUAUCCAAUAAACUAUUCCCGAAAAGGGUUCCGGCCGGGGGUUAUCCAAUGGCCCGUUUGGCUCCUUUUCGAGAAAAUCAAAAAGUGCUUGGGGCUCCCUGGGGGGAGUAUGGUCUCAAGGCCAAAAACUUUAAAGAAAUUUGACCGGAAGGGGCCCCCCCCAGGGGUGGAGCCUCCGGACUUAAUUUUGGCUCAACACGGGGGAAACUCCCAAGGUCCAGACACAAUAAGGAUUGACAGAUUGAGAGCUCUUUCUGAUUAGUGGGUGGUGGUUCAAGGCCGUUCUUACUUGGUGGGGUGACUUGUCUGCUUAAUAGCGAUAACGAACGAGCCCCUACCUGCUAAAUAGCCCCCAUUGCUCCGGCAGUGCGCUGCCUUCUUAGAAGGACUUUCCCCUCAAUCCGAAGGAAGUUUGAGGCAAUAACAGCUCUGUGAUGCCCUUAGAUGUUCUUGGCCGCACGCGCGCUACACUGACGGGGUCAGCGAGUUCCUUGGCCGAAAGGCCCGGGUAAUCUUGUUAGCCCCCGUCGUGCUGGGGAUAGAGCAUUGCAAUUAUUGCUCUUCAACGAGGAAUCCCUAGCCCCCUCUUUGUCACUAGCUUGCGUUGAUUACGUCCCUGCCCUUUCCCCUCGGCGCCCGUC